rnacentral:rRNA from 1 species
UGAGGAAUUUUCCGCAAUGGGCGAAAGCCUGACGGAGCAAUGCCGCGUGAAGGAUGAAGGCCUUUGGGUUGUAAACUUCUUUUCUUAGUGAAGAAUCAAGACGGUAAUUAAGGAAUAAGCAUCGGCUAACUCCGUGCCAGCAGCCGCGGUAAUACGGAGGAUGCAAGCGUUAUCCGGAAUUAUUGGGCGUAAAGCGUCUGUAGGUCGUUUUUUAAGUCUGCUGUUAAAGAUUAAGGCUUAACCUUAAUAAAGCAGCAUGAAACUAAAGAAAUUGAGUUUGGUAGAGGUAGAGGGAAUUCUCGGUGUAGUAGUGAAAUGCGUAGAUAUCGAGAGGAACACCAAUGGCGAAAGCACUCUACUAGGCCAUAACUGACACUGAGAGACGAAAGCUAGGGGAGCAAAUGGGAUUAGAUACCCCCGUAGUCC